rnacentral:rRNA from 1 species
CGAUCUGGCUCAGACGAACGCUGGCGGCAGGCUUAACACAUGCAAGGUUGAACGGGAUUAGUGGUAGCUUGCUAUCAUUAAUGAGAGUAGCGCACUGGUGAGUAACACGUGGGAACAUACCUUUGGUGGGGACAACAGUUGGAAACGACUGCUAAUACCGCAUAAGCCCGGAAGGGGAAAGAUUAAUUGCCGAAAGAUUGGCCCGCGGAAGAUUAGGUAGUUGGUGGGGUAAAGGCCUACCAAGCCGACGAUCUAUAGCUGGUCUGAGAGGACGAACAGCCACAUUGGAACUGAGACACGGUCCAGACUCCUACGGGAGGCAGCAGUGAGGAAUAUUGGGCAAUGGAGGCAACUCUGACCCAGCCAUGCCGCGUGAGUGAAGAAGGUUUUCGAAUUGUAAAGCUCUUUCGGGUGUGACGAUGAUGACGGUAACACCUAAAGAAGCCCCGGCAAACUUCGUGCCAGCCGCCGC